UACAGAGGUCUCAAGCGUUGUUCGGAAUUACUGGGCGUAAAGGGCGCGUAGGCGGCCUUCUAAGUCGAACGUGAAAUCCCCGGGCUCAACCCGGGAACUGCGUCCGAUACUGGAAGGCUUGAAUCCGGGAGAGGGAUGCGGAAUUCCAGGUGUAGCGGUGAAAUGCGUAGAUAUCUGGAGGAACACCGGUGGCGAAGGCGGCAUCCUGGACCGGUAUUGACGCUGAGGCGCGAAAGCCAGGGGAGCAACGGG
rnacentral:rRNA from 1 species